GACUCGAACCGCAGUUGGCCAUGUGGGACCCAACGCCUUAACCUCCACGCCACCUGCUGGCUCACUACUCUUAGAACUGACUGAAUUUCUGGCCAGGUUCAUUUUCCCCUUGUGUACGUCCUGACAAACUCUAUCUGAAAAGGUACGGCCUGCCGGUGAACUUCCAGGCUGUGCUCCUGCAGCCGCAUAAGAAGUCCUCCACCAAACGCUUACGCGAGGUUCUGAACUCUGUCUUCAGACACCUGGAUGAAGUCGCUGCUGCGAGUAUACUGGAUGCCUCUGUGGACAUCCCCGGGCUGCAGCUGGGCAAUCAGGACUACUUCCCGUACGUCUACUUCCGCAUCGACCUCAGCCUCCUCGACUAGGACGGGCCGCGGCCGCAGCGCAGCUCGCCCUCGCGCUCGCAGACUCCUGCCGGCUUGUCUCCGCCUCAGCCAGAGAGCAGGCCCCACGCCCUGCAGAUUCACAUUUCCAGAGAAACUGCUCAUGAGUCAGUUACAGCUGUAUUUAUUUUUGUAAGUUACAAUAAAAUGCUGCCUCUUA